CUUUAGUUAGUAUAAUAAUUAUGUACGUUUGCCUUCCAAGCAGAAAGCCUGCUAAUCGCAGACUAAAGA
rnacentral:tRNA from 1 species